rnacentral:rRNA from 1 species
CACGUAGGGUGCGAGCGUUUGUCCGGAAUUAUUGGGCGUAAAGGGCUCGUAGGCGGUUUGUCGCGUCGGGAGUGAAAUCCACUGGCUUAACUGGUGGCUUGCUUUCGAUACGGGCAGACUGGAGGUAUGCAGGGGAGAACGGAAUUCCUGGUGUAGCGGUGAAAUGCGCAGAUAUCAGGAGGAACACCGGUGGCGAAGGCGGUUCUCUGGGCAUGUCCUGACGCUGAGGAGCGAAAGUGUGGGGAGCGAACAGG